rnacentral:rRNA from 1 species
UGAAUGCUAAUACCCAUAUGCCUUUGAGUGAAAUGGAUUUAUAUUUAUCUGCCUAAAGAGAAGCUCGCGGCUGAUUAGCUUGUUGGUAAGGUAAGAGCUUACCAAGGCGACGAUCAGUAUCUGGUUUGAGAGGACGAUCAGACACACUGGAACUUAGACACGGUCCAGACUCCUACGGGAGGCAGCAGUGGGGAAUUUUCCGCAAUGGGCGAAAGCNUGACGGAGCAAUACCGCGUGAGGGAAGACUGCCUAUGGGNNGUAAACCUCUUUUUUCAGGGAGGAAUAAAAUGACGUGUACCUGAAGAUAA